UACGAAGGGUGCAAGCGUUACUCGGAAUUACUGGGCGUAAAGCGUGCGUAGGUGGUUUGUUAAGUCAGGGGUGAAAUCCUGGAGCUCAACUCCAGAACUGCCUUUGAUACUGGCGAUCUCGAGUCCGGGAGAGGUGAGUGGAACUGCGAGUGUAGAGGUGAAAUUCGUAGAUAUUCGCAAGAACACCAGUGGCGAAGGCGGCUCACUGGCCCGGUACUGACGCUGAGGUGCGAAAGCGUGGGGAGCAAACAGG
rnacentral:rRNA from 1 species